rnacentral:rRNA from 1 species
GACGAACGCUGGCGGCGUGCUUAACACAUGCAAGUCGAACGAUGAAACCUAGCUUGCUAGGUCGAAUAGUGGCGAACGGGUGAGUAACACGUGACUAACCUGCCCCUUUCCCUGGGAUAACGCUCCGAAAGGAGUGCUAAUACCGGAUACUCACAUCGAGGCACAUGCCUUGGUGUGGAAAGUUUUUCGGAAAGGGAUGGAGUCGCGGCCUAUCAGCUUGUUGGUGAGGUAACGGCUCACCAAGGCGACGACGGGUAGCCGGCCUGAGAGGGCAACCGGCCACACUGGGACUGAGACACGGCCCAGACUCCUACGGGAGGCAGCAGUGGGGAAUAUUGCACAAUGGGCGCAAGCCUGAUGCAGCGACGCCGCGUGAGGGAUGAAGGUCUUCGGAUUGUAAACCUCUUUCAGUAGGGACGAAGCGAAAGUGACGGUACCUAAAGAAGAAGCACCGGCUAACUACGUGCCAGCAGCCGCCGUAA